rnacentral:rRNA from 1 species
GAUGAACGCUGGCGGCGUGCCUAAUACAUGCAAGUCGAGCGAACGGACGAGAAGCUUGCUUCUCUGAUGUUAGCGGCGGACGGGUGAGUAACACGUGGAUAACCUACCUAUAAGACUGGGAUAACUUCGGGAAACCGGAGCUAAUACCGGAUAAUAUUUUGAACCGCAUGGUUCAAAAGUGAAAGACGGUCUUGCUGUCACUUAUAGAUGGAUCCGCGCUGCAUUAGCUAGUUGGUAAGGUAACGCCUUACCAAGGCAACGAUGCAUAGCCGACCUGAGAGGGUGAUGGGCCACACUGGAACUGAGACCCGGUCCAGACUCCUACGGGAGGCAGCAGUAGGGAAUCUUCCGCAAUGGGCGAAAGCCUGACGGAGCAACGCCGCGUGAGUGAUGAAGGUCUUCGGAUCGUAAAACUCUGUUAUUAGUGAAUAACAUAUGUGUAAUUAACUGUGCACAUCUUGACGGUACCUUAUCAGAAAGCCACGGCUAACUACGUG